rnacentral:rRNA from 1 species
UACGGAGGGGGCUAGCGUUGUUCGGAAUUACUGGGCGUAAAGCGCACGUAGGCGGCUUUGCAAGUUAGAGGUGAAAGCCCGGGGCUCAACUCCGGAAUUGCCUUUAAAACUGCAUCGCUAGAAUUGUGGAGAGGUAAGUGGAAUUCCGAGUGUAGAGGUGAAAUUCGUAGAUAUUCGGAAGGAACACCAGUGGCGAAGGCGGCCUGCUGGGCAGUAGCUGACGCUGAAGCGCGACAGCGUGGGGAGCAAACAGG